rnacentral:rRNA from 1 species
AGAUUCCGUAAGUAGUGGCGAGCGAACGCGGAAGAGGCCAAACCUAAUGUAGUAAUAUGUUAGGGGUUCGGACAGUAUAAUGAAUUGUCGAGAUUUAGCCGAAUGUCAUGGGAAGGGCAAUCAAAGAAGGUGAAAAUCCUGUAGGCGAAAAGUUAAGACAUCAGACUGUAUCCAGAGUACCGCCGGACACGUGAAACCCGGUGGGAAUACGGGGGGACCAUCCUCCAAGCCUAAAUACUACUCGGUGACCGAUAGAGAAGAAGUACUGUGAAGGAAAGGUGAAAAGCACCCCGGAAGGGGAGUGAAAGAGAACCUGAAACCUUGUGUUUACAAGCACCGAAAGUUCAUCAACGAACGAUCGGGUACCUUUUGUAGAAUGGUCCGGCGAGUGAAUGUAACUGGCAAGGUUAAGCACUUAAGGUGUGAAGCCGUAGCGAGAGCGAGUCUGAAAAGGGCGUAAGAAGUCAGUUGUAUUCGACCCGAAACCGGGUGACCUACCCAUGUCCAGGCUGAAGUGCAGGUAAAACUUCAUGGAGGGCCGAACCGACUCCCGUUGAAAUGGUAGCGGAUGAGGUGUGGGUAGCGGAGAAAUUCCAAUCGAACCCGGAGAUAGCUGGUUCUCUCCGAAAUAGCUUUAGGGCUAGCCUUGGAAUAGAUUACUGGAGGUAAAGCACUGAAUUGGCUAGGGGCCGAGAGGUUACUGAACCUUAUCAAACUAAGAAUGCCAGAUAAUCGUUUUCCAGGAGUCAGACAGUGGGAGAUAAGUUUCAUUGUCAAAAGGGAAACAGCCCAGACCUACAGCUAAGGUCCCAAAGUAUAGUUAAGUGGAAAAGGAUGUGGAAUUGCAUAGACAACCAGGAUGUUGGCUUAGAAGCAGCCACUCAUUAAAAGAGUGCGUAAUAGCUCACUGGUCGAGUGAUUCUGCGCCGAAAAUUUAACGGGGCUAAACUAUACACCGAAGCUUAGGAUACCGCAAGGUAUGGUAGGAGAGCGUUCUGUACGGAGUGAAGUCGUAGCGAAAGCGGCGGUGGACUGUACAGAAGUGAGAAUGCCGGAAUAAGUAGCGAGAAUUAAGUGAGAAUCUUAAUGGUCGAAAGUCUAAGGUUUUUGGAGGAAGGUUCGUCCGCUCCAAGUAAGUCGGGAGCUAAGGUCAGGCCGAAAGGCGUAGCCGAUGCACAAACGGUUGAUAUUCCGUUACCGUCUACAAUUUAAACAAAGGGACACAUACAAAGCGUUUAACCCGGGCGAUGGUUGACCCGGGCGCAAGGGACUGAAAUUAGAGUAGGGAAGUAAAUGUGGCGUAUGGCGAGAAAAGCUUUGUGUAUAGAAGUAGACGCCCGUACCGCAAACCGACACAGGUGGACAGGAAGAGAAUUCUAAGGCCAGCGGGAGAAGGGUAGUUAAGGAACUCGGCAAAUUGACUCCGUAACUUCGGAAUAAGGAGUGCUCGAAAGAGCCGCAGAGAAUAGGCCCAGGCGACUGUUUAGCAAAAACACAGGUCUCUGCCAAAUCGAAAGAUGAAGUAUAGGGGCUGACACCUGCCCGGUGCCGGAAGGUUAAGAGGAGGAGUGCAAGCUCCGAAUUGAAGCCCCGGUAAACGGCGGCCGUAACUAUAACGGUCCUAAGGUAGCGAAAUUCCUUGUCGGGUAAGUUCCGACCCGCACGAAUGGUGUAACGAUCUGGGCACUGUCUCAACUACCCACCCGGCGAAAUUGUAGUACCGGUGAAGAUGCCGGUUACCUGCGGCAAGACGGAAAGACCCCAUGGAGCUUUACUGUAGCCUGAUAUUGGGUUUCGGAAAUCUAUGUACAGGAUAGGCGGGAGACUGGGAAGUAUGAGCGUCAGCUUAUACGGAGUCAUUGUUGGGAUACCGCCCUUAGGUUUCUGGAAUUCUAACCUGCGACCGUGAAUCCGGUCGGGGGACAUUGUCAGGUGGGCAGUUUGACUGGGGCGGUCGCCUCCGAAAAGGUAACGGAGGCGCUCAAAGGUUGGCUCAGCACGGACGGAAACCGUGCCUCAGAGUGUAAACGCAAAAGCCAGCCUAACUGCGAGGAUGACGGUCCGAGCAGUAACGAAAGUUGGAGUUAGUGAUCCGGCGGUAUGUGAAUGGAAAUGCCGUCGCUCAACGGAUAAAAGCUACCCUGGGGAUAACAGGCUGAUCUCCCCCAA